UCCAGAUUAGCUCAAUGGUAGAGUAGGUGACUGUUAAUCACUUGGUUACUGGUUCGAAUCCAGUAUCUGGAGCCA
rnacentral:tRNA from 1 species